GACGAACGCUGGCGGCGUGCCUAAUACAUGCAAGUCGAGCGGACCAAAGGGAGCUUGCUCCUGGAGGUCAGCGGCGAACGGGUGAGUAACACGUGGGCAACCUGCCUGUAAGACUGGGAUAACAUCGAGAAAUCGGUGCUAAUACCGGAUAAUAAAAAGAACUGCAUGGUUCUUUUUUGAAAGAUGGUUUCGGCUAUCACUUACAGAUGGGCCCGCGGCGCAUUAGCUAGUUGGUGAGGUAACGGCUCACCAAGGCAACGAUGCGUAGCCGACCUGAGAGGGUGAUCGGCCACACUGGGACUGAGACACGGCCCAGACUCCUACGGGAGGCAGCAGUAGGGAAUCUUCCGCAAUGGACGAAAGUACUGACGGAGCAACGCCGCGUGAGUGAUGAAGGUUUUCGGAUCGUAAAACUCUGUUGUUAGGGAAGAACAAGUGCCGUUCGAAAGGGCGGCACCUUGACGGUA
rnacentral:rRNA from 1 species